rnacentral:rRNA from 1 species
UUCUUCGGAGAGUUUGAUCCUGGCUCAGGAUGAACGCUGGCGGCGUGCCUAAUACAUGCAAGUCGAGCGAUCUGAUUUUAAGCUUGCUUCUAUGAGGUUAGCGGCGGACGGGUGAGAAACACGUGGGCAACCUGCCUGUAAGACUGGGAUAACUUCGGGAAACCGAAGCUAAUACCGGAUAGGAUCUUCUCCUUCAUGGGAGAUGAUUGAAAGAUGGAUUCGGCUAUCACUUACAGAUGGGCCCGCGGUGC